CUUUCUUUCCACGCUCUCUAGUCCCGUGGCGCAGCUGCUCGGGUACCCAGGCAGCUCCUCGCUCUCCAUCUUCACCUCCGCGGCAGGGACGCUCGGACGAUCAGCUAGGGGUCCCGCCGACGCACUUGCGCCCUGGGCUCGGCGGCCGCGGGGACGAGCAGGCUCCGGCGCCGGGGAUCUCUAUUUCUCUCUCUGUCCCCGAUGUCUGCCCGGCGGUGGCAGCACGUGCCUGCAGACUCACCAACCCGGUCAGCCUGCAGAGAUCCAGUUGUGAUUCCUUCAUCCCAGCUCUCCGCACCCGCCCCUAAAGUGGCUGGGGACUGCCACUCAGUUGCACGUGGCCGGCUCACUCAUUCAUCCCAAGAAAGGCUCGUCUGAGGGCAAUGCUCUGAUAGUUAAUGGGUACUGAUCGGUAAUCUCAAUGAGUUGGACAAUAAAGACUAAUGGAAAGUCCA
rnacentral:lncRNA from 1 species